rnacentral:rRNA from 1 species
UGGGGAAUAUUGCACAAUUGGGGAAACCCUGAUGCAGCGACGCCGCGUGAGCGAAGAAGUAUUUCGGUAUGUAAAGCUCUAUCAGCAGGGAAGAAAAUGACGGUACCUGACUAAGAAGCCCCGGCUAACUACGUGCC